UGGGGAAUAUUGCACAAUGGAGGGAACUCUGAUGCAGCGACGCCGCGUGAACGAAGAAGGCUUUCGAGUCGUAAAGUUCUUUUAUAUGGGAAGAUAAUGACGUUACCAUAAGAAAAAGCCCCGGCUAACUACGUGCCAGCAGCCGCGGUAAUACGUAGGGGGCUAGCGUUGUCCGGAAUCACUGGGCGUAAAGGGUUCGCAGGCGGAAAUGCAGGUCAGGUGUAAAAGGCAGUAGCUUAACUACUGUAAGCAUUUGAAACUGCAUCUCUUGAGACGAGUAGAGGUAAGUGGAAUUUUUAGUGUAGCGGUGAAAUGCGUAGAUAUUAAAAAGAAUACCGGUGGCGAAGGCGACUUACUGGGCUCAUUCUGACGCUGAGAAACGAAAGCGUGGGUAGCAAACAGG
rnacentral:rRNA from 1 species